UACGAAGGGGGCUAGCGUUGCUCGGAAUUACUGGGCGUAAAGCGCGUGUAGGUGGUGGGACAAGUCUGCUGUGAAAGCGCCUGGCUUAACCGGGCGAGGUCGGCGGAAACUGUCCGACUCGAGGACGGUAGAGGGGGGUGGAAUUCCCGGUGUAGUGGUGAAAUGCGUAGAGAUCGGGAGGAACACCUGUGGCGAAGGCGGCCCCCUGGGCCGGCCCUGACACUGAGACGCGAAGGCGUGGGGAGCGAACGGGG
rnacentral:rRNA from 1 species